AAUAUAACAUAAUAACACAAUAUUAUAUAUAAAAUAAAUCUUACCCCCAAAUUAAUUCUUUUAAAAAAAUUAUUCAAAAUUUUUUAAGUUAAUUUUUAUAAUAAAAAAUUAUUAAACUAAAAUAAAAUUUAAAUAACUAAUUAUAAAUUGUUAAAAAUAAAAUUAAUUUUUUUUCCCUUUUGUAUCAGGAAUAAUUAAUAAAAAAAUAAAAUUAAUUUAUUCUCGAAAUAAAAAAAUUUAAAUAUUUUAAUUUUUUAAUAUAUCAAUAUUAUAAAAAAAUUAUAUUUAGAAACAAUAUAUUAAUCAAUUUUUAUUAUAUCUAGUUAUUUAAUAAAUGAAUUCAAUUCAAAUAUAAAUAUUUUAAUUUAAAUUUUUUAUUUAAAUUAAUUUUUAUAUUAAUAAUUUUAAGGUUAAACUUAAAAUUAAUUAUUUAUAAUAAUUAAUUAACUAAAAACUUAUAAAAUAUAAAAAUAAAAUUAUUUUUUUAUUAAUAAAAAUUUAACAAUUUAUUACUUAAAAAUAUAUUUUUUAUAUUUAUUUAAAGAUUUAUUAAAUUAAUAUUAAAAAUUUAAAAUAAUAUAUAAAAAUGAUUAUAUUAGUAAAUUUUAAUCUUAAAUUAAUUUAUUUAUAAUUAAAAUAAUUAAUAAAAAAAAAGAUUUUUAUAAAAAAUUAAGCAAUAAUGUAUAUUCAACUGUUUAACAAAAACAUUUCUUAAUGACUUUGCCCAUAAUAUUAAGUAUAAUCUGCUCAAUGAUUGAUUUUUAAAUAGCUGCAGUAUCCUUGACUGUACGAAGGUAGCAUAAUAAUUAGUUUUUUAAUUAAAAACUAGAAUGAAAGAUUCAAUGAAAUAUAAUCUAUCUUAUAAAAACUAAUAAUUAAAUUUAUUUUUUAAGUAAAAAAACUUAAAUAAUAUUAAAAGACAAGAAGACCCUAUAGAAUUUAAUAAAAAAAUCUAUUUUAUUCCUAUUUAAUUUAUUUAAAUAAAAUAUAUGUUUAAUAUUUGAUUGGGGUAAUUUUUAAAUUAAAAAAAUUUUAAAAUUUUUUUAACAUAUUUAAAUGAAAAAUUGAUCCUAAAAUAAUGAUUAAUAAAAUAAAUUACCUUAGGGAUAACAGCAUAAUUUUUUUUAUAAGUUCAAAUUAAAAAAAAAGUUUAUGACCUCGAUGUUGAAUUAAGAUUAAAUUAAACCGAAAAAAAUUUAUAAUUUAAGUCUGUUCGACUUUUAAAUUCUUACAUGAUUUGAGUUAAAAUCGGCGUAAGCCAGAUUGGAUUCUAUCUUUAAUCAAUUUUAAUAUUAUUGUACGAAAGGAAUUAAUAUUAAAAAUAAUUUUUAAAUUUAUUAUUAAA
rnacentral:rRNA from 1 species